GAUGAACGCUGGCGGCGUGCCUAAUACAUGCAAGUCGAGCGAACGGACGAGAAGCUUGCUUCUCUGAUGUUAGCGGCGGACGGGUGAGUAACACGUGGAUAACCUACCUAUAAGACUGGGAUAACUUCGGGAAACCGGAGCUAAUACCGGAUAAUAUUUUGAACCGCAUGGUUCAAAAGUGAAAGACGGUCUUGCUGUCACUUAUAGAUGGAUCCGCGCUGCAUUAGCUAGUUGGCAAGGUAACGGCUUACCAAGGCAACGAUGCAUAGCCGACCUGAGAGGGUGAUCGGCCACACUGGAACUGAGACACGGUCCAGACUCCUACGGGAGGCAGCAGUAGGGAAUCUUCCGCAAUGGGCGAAAGCCUGACGGAGCAACGCCGCGUGAGUGAUGAAGGUAUUCGGAUCGUAAAACUCUGUUAUUAGGGAAGAACAUAUGUGUAAGUAACUGUGCACAUCUUGACGGUACCUAAUCAGAAAGCCACGGCUAACUACGUG
rnacentral:rRNA from 1 species